rnacentral:sRNA from 1 species
UAUUGACUGGUUUGAUAGGUGCUACUUU